rnacentral:rRNA from 1 species
GAUGAACGCUGGCGGCGUGCCUAAUACAUGCAAGUCGAGCGAACCACUUCGGUGGUGAGCGGCGAACGGGUGAGUAACACGUAGGUGAUCUGCCCAUCAGACGGGACAACGAUUGGAAACGAUCGCUAAUACCGGAUAGGACGAAAGUUUAAAGGUGCUUCUGGCACCGCUGAUGGAUGAGCCUGCGGCGCAUUAGCUAGUUGGUAGGGUAAAGGCCUACCAAGGCGACGAUGCGUAGCCGACCUGAGAGGGUGAACGGCCACACUGGGACUGAGACACGGCCCAGACUCCUACGGGAGGCAGCAGUAGGGAAUCUUCGGCAAUGGGCGAAAGCCUGACCGAGCAACGCCGCGUGAAUGAUGAAGGCCUUCGGGUUGUAAAAUUCUGUUAUAAGGGAAGAACGACUUUAGUAGGAAAUGGCUAGAGUGUGACGGUACCUUAUGAGAAAGCCACGGCUAACUACGUG